CCGACCGACUCCCAGCGGGCGUUGCGCCGCUCCUCGCGGCCUCCAGGAAGCGGGGGCUUCUGGGACUUGUAGUGCGCGCCCGCGCCUCCCACUUCCUGGGGGUUCGCAGCACAGGUGCCAGCUAGAAGCCUCAGAGCUCUACUCAACUCUUUUAAUUGCUCCUUGGAGUGGUCUACUCACCACAUCCAUUUGAUGCUCAAUCCCAAUGUCUUUCAAAUGAAUGGAUCUUCAAAUUGAUUUAAUACAUCUUUACCAGCAUUAAAAAAAAAAAAAAAGAAGAAGAAAUAGAAAAUCUCAAGUACAUGAAAUGAGUAAAGGCAUAUAUCCUGAUAAUACCAUAAAAAGAUUCAGUGAACUUCCUGUACAUCUGAUCACACA